rnacentral:rRNA from 1 species
AUGACACACAUACAUCAGACCCAAGGUCAGUUUGAAACCAGAUUCAAGGUCAGUUUAGAACCAAAAUUUAAAAAAAUGCUACAACUAGCAGAAUACCUAAAUCAGCACGUACAAGCUUUGUUGGUCAAUCCAAGUAUCUACUACUACAAAAAAACUUGUAACAAUAUGUAUCUAUGUUAUCUAUGCAUUCACCCAAAAAGUUGGUCUUCAAAUAGACUUCAUGUUCUACAUGUUGCUGAGCACACGAAGUUGGCAGUUCUGUGCUUGUUUCCAAAAUCUACAAGAGCGAUCAAACAAGCAGUUGGUCGAACUGGAGGUGGUGGAAUUUUGUUGAUAAGACAUUCCUUGUUUAGCUGCCAAAGUCUGCAAAUGAAUAGAGAUACACCAACUGGUUAG